rnacentral:antisense_RNA from 1 species
UUGAGGGUGUACUGCCAGGUGUCCUCGGAUUGCACCACAGUUUCAUCACCGAAAUGGUCGCCGUCGGCUAGCACGUCCAACACGACCUGCUCGUCAUACUUGCCAACACCAAUCUUGUUCACCUUGCCACGAGCAAUUAGAAUUAUGCGAUCAGCCGGCUGACCAAUCUCAACGAUCACGUCGUCUGGGGCGAACUCCUGCUGCACAAACUGGUUAGCCAACGCGGUCAACACCUGGGUGUCGUUAAACCCUCGCAGCAAGGGCAACUCAGUAAGUUCCUGGGGAAUCACCUGCACCGUUGCUCCGGUGUUGGUGAAACUAACCCGCCCAUCACCCACAGAAUAACUCAACCGACGGUUGACGCGAUAUACGCCACCCUUGGUCUGCACCCACGGCAACAGCUUCAACAACCACCGGGAUGUAAUUUCCUGGGUCUGUGGUGCAGAUUUGGUCGUUGUCGCCAAAUUACGCGCCGCUGCUGUACUCAAACUUAACUGGGGCUGCUG